AUACUCCUACGGGACGCAGCAGUGAGGAAUAUUGGUCAAUGGGAGAGCUCCUGAACCAGCCAAGCCGCGUGAGGGAAGACGGCCCUAUGGGUUGUAAACCUCUUUUGUCGGAGAACAAAACCCGGGACAUGUCCCGGACUGCGUGUAUCCGAAGAAAAAGCAUCGGCUAACUCCGUGCCAGCAGCCGCGGUAAUACGGAGGAUGCGAGUGUUAUCCGGAUUUAUUGGGUUUAAAGGGUGCGUAGGCGGUCCGUUAAGUCAGCGGUAAAAUUGCGGGGCGCAACCCCGUCGAGCCGUUGAAACUGG
rnacentral:rRNA from 1 species